ACUUGCUCCCAUCCUUAUCCUUCCAUGUUUCCUUGACUGCUUUCCUUACCGAUGUUUUUCUUCCACUACUUCCCUUCUCAAAGAAUAAACCCUUUUUCUUCUCUUUAUCUUGGCUUAUUCGUCGAAUUCCCAAUAAAAGGAGACAGAAUAGGAAGCAACAAUGCGAGGAAGAAAGUGAAAGAUGUGCUUUUGUCUCAUUUUCCAUCUCUUCCUUCUUUUCAAUUGGGCUCCACUAAUAGUGAAAGAAGAAGACAAAUGUUCAUUUUCACACAAGAAGCUAGGAUGGAACGAAGGUUUCGUUUUGGAUUUGAAAUUAAGCUAUAGUUAUAUUUUGGUAAGAUUUCAACUCUAUUUUUUCUUCCUUUGGAAUGCCACCUUGUCCUGCUCUAGCUAUAAUUCUCAAUAUACCUUUAACCUUGCUAUAUGUUUAAUAACGAUAUAGGACCAAGGAUUUUCAGGUAACGUCUCUUUUCUAUUUUUGUUCUUGUUUUUUAAGGCUGAUGAACCUUCUAUGCUUGGUAAAUAAGAAAGAUGAAGGUCACAAAGAAUAGUGAUUGGAACAGAUGAAUCGAAUUUGGUUCCUAGUAAAUUUGACUCUUCUUCAUCUCAAGCUACUUUGCUCUAUUCUACUUUUGACUUUUUGUAGACUUAUUCCCUUUUUUUCCUUUUCUAAUAUUUUAGGGCUCAUGGGACGACAGAGCUUAAAGGUGAGGGGUUGAACAUGGUUGCAAGGAAUGUGAAACCGAAACUACCAUUAGGAUGAAGGAAAAAUAUGGAGAGAAGAAAGUGAAUUAUUUGUUAAUGGUUGUUGUUUUUCAACCUGAAGUACCUUCUGUAUUACAAGCUAACAUAAAUGGAAGCAAUGACGAGUGAAAAAUCUACAACAAAAUUCCAAUUAGAGAAGGAGAUGAAGCGUAUCCAACAAGCUCGGGUUCAACAUCAUCAUCAUUAUUAUUAUUAUUAUUAUUAUUAUUAUUAUUAUUAUUAUUAGCUACUUACUUCACUUCCACUCGGUAUGCUUAGGGAGGGUUUAUUUACUGAUUAUUGAUUUGAGCAAGUGAGUUUUCAGGCACUUGUGGGUCGAUUUUCCUAGAUGAAAGCUGUUUGGAUGAAAUAUAUGGUAAACAAUAUUCUUUUACUUCAAAUUCUUAUGCAUAUUUUCUACAAAUAGACAUGAAAUUACUGAACAAAGUAACAAACCCCCUUUUUAUAAUUGGAAAUAACAAAAGUAGGAUUCUAUAAGAAAUGGAAACGUAGGAUGUUCUUAAAAGAUUUAUUUGUAGAAAAGUAGGAUGCCAUUAAAAUGGAUUAUCAACUUUGGAAUAAAAAACACAAAAGUUCAACUUUACUUUUAGAAAAAUAUAUCUUUUAAUAGCAUCCUACUACUCCAUUUAAAAACAAAAUAAUAGUGUCAUACUUCGUUGCCUUAUACAUGAACAUAUUCUGCAAUAAUACCCACAACUUGAUUCUGUUGUAUAACAAUACUUUUGUCUGACAGAUUGUGCGAAUGGAGAGAGUUUCUAGAUCAGAUGUUAUCCAGAUUAAGUACUUGAACUAAUUAAUUCUUAAUUUGCACUUGGAUUCUAACUUUUACACAUUUGUUAUUGUAGAUGUGGAAGAUAUACCAAACAUUAUGCUAAAUCCAUUGUUAUACAAAUACUAAACGCAUAUUCAUUUAUUCAUCUACAAGAAGUUGUACACCGUGAUUUACAGCCAGAAGUAUCCGUUGUAUAUAAUUAUUUUUUUGUAAUUUAAUCUCAUUUGGAACAAUCAAAUGAUGAUUUUUAGCUUCAUUUUGACACAAUGAUGCUUGGUAGAACUUUCUUUUUUAGUACAAAAGACUAAGAUUCUCCAAUGAAGGUUAUAGAUUUCGUUUUAUCCGAUUUUGUUAGAAA